CGCGUCAAUUGAGCCUUGGUCGUGGAAGAGGACGCAACAACACCAUGAAGAAGUGCCUGACGCUUUGGCUGUUGCUGGCCGUCGGCCUCGUGCUCUCGGCCGCCGUCUCGGACGCUGCGUCGUACCGGGAGCGGCGGAGCCCGGUAUGCCACAUUUGUGGGCCCAUCUGCAAGGAGCCAUGCUAUUACCGGAGCCACAAUGGCUGUAAGCUGAACCGCUGGCGGUGUCCUUCGUUGGCCCCGUCGCCCCCGCUCUUCGCCGCCGGGGUCCCCCAAUAGCUGCGGCAGCGAACCAAGGGCCAAGGGCCUGGCCAGCCAUGCCCACGGGUCCAAGAAUACUUGGUGCAUGGAACGUCUUCUGCAACCCUCUGCAACAACGGAAGACGAGUCAAAGAGAUCACUCGUCCCAGCUGUGCGGUUCAUGAAUAAUGCUCACUAUUAAUUCAAAACUUAAAAACAGCUCAAAAUCUUCAAUAAAAUUAAUCUAAUUGAC